GUGCUCUGAGGAUCAGCAAGAGUGAGGCUGGGCCAAGAAGCCCCCAAACUCCAGCCCCUGUCUCCAUGGCCCAGAGACUCAUUCUGUGAGAGUUUCUCUGGACUUCCAAAGGAACAAAUUUAUUUCUUUAAGUGUAAAUGGACUCUUUCCCACAAAGACGCUGCUAUGUCAUUUCAUACAUUCUUUUUUAACUUCAUCAAACAAAGUGCAGUUCUCUGGCGCUAAUGUCAAUCUCCACAGCUCAUUGGGUUUUUAAAAAUAGUGGAGACACAGAUUUCAUCUCCCAGCCUCAGUGAGGAAGGCAGCACUCUAGCCAGUGAGAGGAACCCUUCGC
rnacentral:lncRNA from 1 species